rnacentral:rRNA from 1 species
GAUUAUGGCUCAGGACGAACGCUGGCGGCGUGCCUAACACAUGCAAGUCGAGCGAGGAGAUCCUUCGGGAUGAUCCUAGCGGCGGACGGGUGAGUAACACGUGGGCAACCUGCCUCAUAGAGAGGAAUAGCCUUCCGAAAGGGAGAUUAAUACCUCAUAACAUUGCAGUUUCGCAUGGAACAGCAAUUAAAGGAGUAAUCCGCUAUGAGAUGGGCCCGCGGCGCAUUAGCUAGUUGGUGAGGUAACGGCUCACCAAGGCGACGAUGCGUAGCCGACCUGAGAGGGUGAUCGGCCACAUUGGGACUGAGACACGGCCCAGACUCCUACGGGAGGCAGCAGUGGGGAAUAUUGCACAAUGGGGGAAACCCUGAUGCCAGCAACGCCGCGUGAGUGAUGACGGCCUUCGGGUUGUAAAGCUCUGUCUUCAGGGACGAUAAUGACGGUACCUGAGGAGGAAGCCACGGCUAACUACGUGCCAGCCGCCGC